GAUGAACGCUGGCGGCGUGCCUAAUACAUGCAAGUCGAGCGAACAGACGAGGAGCUUGCUCCUCUGACGUUAGCGGCGGACGGGUGAGUAACACGUGGAUAACCUACCUAUAAGACUGGGAUCACUUCGGGAAACCGGCGCUAAUACCGGAUAAUAUAUUGCACCGCAUGGUUCAAUAGUGAAAGACGGUUUUGCUGUCUCUUAUAGAUGGAUCCGCGCCGCAUUAGAUAGUUGGUAAGGUAACGGCUUACCACGGCAACGAUGCGUAGCCGACCUGAGAGAGGGAUAGGCCACACGGGAACGGAGACACGGUCAAGACGCCUGAGGGAGGCAGCAGUAGGGAAUCGUCCGCAAUGGGGGAAAGCCUGACGGAGCAAGGCCGAGUGAGUGAUGAAGGUCUUCGGAUCGGAAAACUCUGUUAUGAGGGAAGAACAAAUGUGGAAGUAACUAUGCACGGCUUGACGGUACCGAAUCAGAAAGCCACGGCUAACUACGUG
rnacentral:rRNA from 1 species